GGGGGCGGGGCCUGCUGCGGCUGAGAUGCUGUACGGGUGAGGAUGGCGUGCACAUCGGCCCCCGCCAGCGGGCGAAGGGUCAGGUGACCACGAAAAAACACAAGAACAGCAUCAACCUAUCAGAGACAGAACACAACUACAGCAACCAAUCACAUGACGGCAGAACUUCAACGACCUGUGGACAGAAUGAUGGAAAAUCAACAAAGAAGAAACCACCCAAAAUUGUUUUCACAAAGGUUGCAGAAAAGAAGUGGGUGCUGGGGAGGUCAAAGGUCAAACAACAACCUGAGGAGGAGGAG
rnacentral:lncRNA from 1 species